rnacentral:rRNA from 1 species
UACGGGGGGAGCAAGCGUUGUUCGGAUUUACGUGGCGUAAAGGCGCGUAGGCGGCCAGCACAAGUCAGUUGUGAAAUCUCCGGGCUUAACUCGGAAAGGUCAACUGAUACUGUGCGGCUAGAGUGCAGAAGGGGCAACUGGAAUUCUCGGUGUAGCGGUGAAAUGCGUAGAUAUCGAGAGGAACACCUGCGGCGAAGGCGGGUUGCUGGGCUGACACUGACGCUGAUGCGCGAAAGCCAGGGGAGCGAACGGG